rnacentral:tRNA from 1 species
GAAGAAUUUAGUUAAUAAAUAACAUUAAUUUGUCAAGUUAAAAUAAUUAAUUUUAAUAAUUCUU